rnacentral:lncRNA from 1 species
UUUUGGUUUGGUGGCAUUGUCCAUUAGCAUGGGAAAUAGUGGAGUGAUGGCAUUGGUGGACAUGGGAAGGCUGACAGGUGUCAUCUAUCUGGACUUUUGCAAAGCCUUUGAAAGAAUGGCUUUCCGAAAAUAUCUGCGGUUCUACUCAGUCCUCAGAAUUUAUUUUUACUGGAAACUUUUGAAUUAGCUUAAGGAAUGAGAUGAAUGAAUAAGAAGUGUGCUACAGGAACAGUCAGGCUGGAACAACGACAGGAAAUAUCACGGAGAUUCAAACUACUUAGGCUUGGACAAGGAUCCUAUCAAAGCCUUCCUUCCUUUAACAGUGUAUUUGUGGUGAAGAAAGAUCUCCCUUGUGUGGAGUCAUGGAUUUUUCUGAGAGAUUGUCAGCAAGGACAAAGUCUGGUUACUUGAAAGUGGAAACUGAAGUAAUUAAAUGCAUUAUUUGAAAAAAGGAGCUAUGCUUGAACCAUCCUGCUUCUGAUGAAUGUUUUGUAGAGCUGGUCCUUGAUAGGAAUCCCUGAAUGGCUCCAGGCCCUUUCACUUGGAGCAGUACCGCCUCUAGCACUGCUGUGCACAGUUGCAUGUGAUUUUAGAGGAAAUAAAAUCUGUAUAAGACAUUUGUAUCUUUGAACAUCAGUAGUAUAUUUCUUGGCUAGAGUUUAUGUCGUGUCAUGUCAGAGCAAAGCUAUGACAACCUUUUUGAAGAGCACCAACACAUUCAGUUGCUAGGUACUCACCAAAACCUGCUAGUUGGCAGUGAAGUGUGAUGACACUUUAAAACAUACUUUUCCAACCAUGUCUAGAUUUCAGGCUAUGGAAAAUAGCAUGGAUAGUCCCCUUCUGAACUGCACUGUUUUGUCCAUGAAAAUGCUUCUGACAGUUACUGAUCCUGAAGUGUAAAGUGCCCAUUUUAAAUUCUCAUUAAAAAAAGGCUUUUUUUUUUUUCUUCUGUAUUAAAAUCACUCAGCUUACUUUUGUUACUUGGGCAUAAGAACAGAAUUUUUUCAUCCUGAAAUGCUGGCUUAACUAUAAAUGCAAAGAAGUUGUGGGCAGCCACUGCAGAAGACACUGCAACAAGAAGACAGGAAUUGAAGGAGACUCUAGGCAGCAUUUAAGUACAGGCCUUGGCAGUAGAUACCCAUACAUGAGCGCAAGUGGCCCGCUAUAUAGCUUGAGCAUACGCAGUGACAUUAAUACACAUGGCCUUUAGCAAUACCUACUGGAUGUAAUGUUUCUAAGAGCUCACUCAAAUAGAAAUAUUAAAGAGUGUAACGGUCUCAGUGGAUCUUCAUGUGCAAACUAGAAAGUUCAACCUUGUCCCAGUGAAGGGUUGAUUACUGUACUCUUAGAAGGGCAAAUCUUACCACAGACCAAACCUGGACAGUAUGCCAUGAUCUACACUGAGAAGAUU